rnacentral:snoRNA from 1 species
GAUCAAUGAUGAAAAUAGCCAAAUCUGAGUAUCAGAAGACCUCAGUCUGCCUGACACAUGAUCUCUAGAGUUCUGAGA